rnacentral:rRNA from 1 species
UGGGGGAUAUUGCACAAUGGGCGAAAGCCUGAUGCAGCGACGCCGCGUGGGGGAUGAAGGCUUUCGGGUUGUAAACCUCUUUCGCUAUCGAACAAGGCCCGCUUAGGGUGGGUUGAGGGUAGGUGGAGAAGAAGCGCCGGCUAACUACGUGCCAGCAGCCGCGGUAAUACGUAGGGCGCGAGCGUUGUCCGGAAUUAUUGGGCGUAAAGGGCUUGUAGGCGGCUUGUUGCGCCUGCUGUGAAAACGCGGGGCUUAACUUCGCGCGUGCAGUGGGUACGGGCAGGCUUGAGUGUGGUAGGGGUGACUGGAAUUCCAGGUGUAGCGGUGGAAUGCGCAGAUAUCUGGAGGAACACCGAAGGAGAAGGCAGGUCACUGGGCCAUUACUGACGCUGAGGAGCGAAAGCAUGGGUAGCGAACAGG